UCGGUGGUGCUUUUUUGUAGUGUUCUGUGCAUUCACCUUGGCCGUGCCCCGUGUGCAACUUUUGAAGGGAAAAGUCGUUUGCAUUAAAAACCCAUUUCGUGGCUUUUCAUUGUUGUUGUUGUUUUUGUUGCUUGUGAUUUGCGUAAGUCCCGCCAGCGCACCGCCAGCUCACCGCUGCCGCCGCCCGACUAUCCAGAAAGCAGCAGAGGGAACACGCACAUAAUUGCCUGCCAUCGUAAUGGCUUCACGUGCCAGCCAAGUGAGUGGUUUUUGGUUGCUCUCUCUC
rnacentral:lncRNA from 1 species